ACACGUAAACAACCUGCCUUCAGGAUGGGGACAACAGACGGAAACGACUGCUAAUACCGAAUAAGUUCCAAGAGCCGCAUGGCCCAUGGAAGAAAAGGUGGCCUCUACCUGUAAGCUAUCGCCUGAAGAGGGGUUUGCGUCUGAUUAGCUGGUUGGAGGGGUAACGGGCCCACCAAGGCGACGAUCAGUAGCCGGUCUGAGAGGAUGAACGGCCACACUGGAACUGAGACACGGCCCAGACUCCUACGGGAGGCAGCAUG
rnacentral:rRNA from 1 species